GAUGAACGCUGGCGGCGUGCCUAAUACAUGCAAGUCGAGCGAACAGACGAGGAGCUUGCUCCUCUGACGUUAGCGGCGGACGGGUGAGUAACACGUGGAUAACCUACCUAUAAGACUGGGAUACCUUCGGGAAACCGGAGCUACUACCGGAUAAUAUAUUGAACCGCAUGGUUCACUAGUGAAAGACGGUUUUGCUGUCACUUAUAGAUGGCUCCGCGCCGCAUUAGCUAGUUGGUAAGGUAACGGCUUACCAAGGCAACGAUGGGUAGCCGACCUGAGAGGGUGAUCGCCCACACUGGAACUGAGACACGGUCCAGACUCCUGCGGGAGGCAGCAGUAUGGAAUCUUCCGCAAUGGGCGAAAGCCUGACGGAGCAACGCCGCGUGAGUGAUGAAGGUCUUCGGAUCGGAAAACUCUGUUAUUAGGGAAGAACAAAUGUGUAAGUAACUAUGCACGUCUUGACGGUACCUAAUCAGAAAGCCACGGCUAACUACGUG
rnacentral:rRNA from 1 species